GAUGAACGCUAGCUACAGGCUUAACACAUGCAAGUCGAGGGGAAACGAUAGAGAAAGCUUGCUUUUUCUAGGCGUCGACCGGCGCACGGGUGAGUAACGCGUAUCCAACCUGCCCAUCACUUGGGGAUAACCUUGCGAAAGUAAGACUAAUACACAAUGAUAUCUCUAGAAGACAUCUGAAGGAGAUAAAAGAUUUAUCGGUGAUGGAUGGGGAUGCGUCUGAUUAGCUUGUCGGCGGGGUAACGGCCCACCAAGGCGACGAUCAGUAGGGGUUCUGAGAGGAAGGUCCCCCACAUUGGAACUGAGACACGGUCCAAACUCCUACGGGAGGCAGCAGUGAGGAAUAUUGGUCAAUGGGCGAGAGCCUGAACCAGCCAAGUAGCGUGCAGGAUGACGGCCCUAUGGGUUGUAAACUGCUUUUAUAAGGGAAUAAAGUGAGUCUCGUGAGGCUUUUUGCAUGUACCUUAUGAAUAAGGACCGGCUAAUUCCGUGCCAGCAGCCGCCGCCGUAA
rnacentral:rRNA from 1 species